CCUGCACCCCAUGAAGAGCUGGAGAAGUGAGGAGGUGUUGACUUCUGCCUUCUGCAGCUCAUUUAAUGCUCAGAUCGAAAGAAGCAGUCGAUGAUAGGUGUGUAGGGACACCAGGUUUUCCAGUUUCGAGUGCAUCAGGAUUCUCCUAACCAUACAUGCCUUCUGAUGCCUUCAACUCUUUUUCGUUGUCUGCUGCUAUAUACUCAACCCAUGACUGCACCAAAAGCAACUUCUUUUUUCUGGAAGUGAUGGGUGAGACAUCCACUUCGCUUACGCUCGCGAUUGCAGCACGAGAACAAGCAGCACGAGGCUGCUUGGUUAAGCAAUCCCAGCGGCACCCAGGAAGAAGCUCGUGAUCAGGAAAGAGAUGUGAACCGC